rnacentral:rRNA from 1 species
UUCGCAAUGCCCGAAAGGGUGACGAAGCGACGCCGCGUGUGGGAAGAAGGCCUUCGGGUUGUAGACCACUGUCAGGAGUUAGGAAAUGCAAGGGGGUUAAUAGCCCUUUUGCUUGACUAAGGCUCCAGAGGAAGCCACGGCUAACUCUGUGCCAGCAGCCGCGGUAAUACAGAGGCGGCAAGCGUUGUUCGGAAUUAUUGGGCGUAAAGAGCACGUAGGCGGCCCUAAAAGUCAGUUGUGAAAGCCUUCCGCUUAACGGAAGAACGGCUUCUGGUACUGUAGGGCUAGAGUACGGAAGGGGAGAGUGGAACUUCUGGUGGAGCGGUGAAAUGCGUAGAUAUCAGAAGGAACGCCGGCGGCGAAAGCGACUCUCUGGACCGAAACUGACGCUGAGUGUGCGAAAGCUAGGGGAGCAAACGGGAUUAGAUACCCCGGUAGUCCUAGCCGUAAACGAUGGGCACUAAGUAGAGGGGUUUU